UAUGACCAGCUCAAUCAGAUUACAUCAAAACUCAACCAUUGAAAAGCCAUCCUGUACACAUGAAGCUGUCUGUUACUUAAAUUGUUUUGUAACUUUGCUGUCUCUUAUGGAUAAAUAGUGGAGAUUUUUCACACCAUAUGGAUUGAAAGUGUUUUUUCCACUUUGCAGUGGCAUUAUGAUAUUUCAAUACCAUAAGGUAUAAAGGAUAGACUUGAUGCUGGGUUUUCAGAUUUUGCUAUGUUUACAUUUGUUUGAAUGCCUUGGAAAAGCAGUAUACACUUCCAAAUUACUUGAAUUACUUCAGAUUUAGUUCUUCAUGUGAAGUCUAGACGCCACCAUAGAAAAGUUUAAUAAUUUGC
rnacentral:misc_RNA from 1 species